rnacentral:lncRNA from 1 species
CGGACGACGAGAUUUGGAACAAAAGGCAAAUCGGCUACGUCUACAUCCUCAGCACCUCUUUGGCAGUUCUGUUUCUUGCCCGACCUUUUCUGCCGGCUGGAUGCUCGCCGCAUUUGCAUCUGUUUGGGGUCUGGGUAAUGUAUGCCUUCCCUGUGGCAUGUUCGGUGAGAGGAUUUGCAAGAGCUUGAGUCGGCAUGUGGGUCAUAUUCUCUACAUGACAUUCUCAGCGCUGGUGAUUUAUGGCAUAUAUCUACUGGCUGUACAUGCUGAUCCGACCCAUCCAGCUUCAGUUCCAGCUCUAGCGCUGCCGUCAUUGGGGUUGACAUGGGAAGGAGUGUUCGGUUUUAUUGGUGUUCUAGUUUCAUUUGGACAUCUAUUAUUUUGGAUAAAGUGCUGCUACACGGGUGUUGACCGUGACCGGGAGGCAUAG